rnacentral:rRNA from 1 species
CCUACGGGAGGCAGCAGUGGGGAAUAUUGGACAAUGGGCGAAAGCCUGAUCCAGCCAUGCCGCGUGUGUGAAGAAGGUCUUCGGAUUGUAAAGCACUUUAAGUUGGGAGGAAGGGUAGUAACUUAAUACGUUGCUACUUUGACGUUACCGACAGAAUAAGCCCCG